rnacentral:rRNA from 1 species
UACAGAGGUGGCAAGCGUUGUUCGGAAUUACUGGGCGUAAAGGGCGCGUAGGCGGCUGGGGAAGUCGGUGGUGAAAGCUCGUGGCUCAACUACGAGUCGGCCAACGAUACUCCUCGGCUCGAGCACUGUAGAGGCAGGUGGAAUUCCGGGGUAGUAGCGGUGGAAUGCGUAGAGAUCAGGAAGAACACCCAUGGCGAAGGCAGCUCUCUGGGCCGGAUACUGACGCUGAGACGCGAAAGCGCGGGGAGCGAACGGG